rnacentral:rRNA from 1 species
UUGAACGCUGGCGGCAGGCCUAACACAUGCAAGUCGAGCGGUAACACAGAGAGCUUGCUCUCGGGUGACGAGCGGCGGACGGGUGAGUAAUGUCUGGGAAACUGCCUGAUGGAGGGGGAUAACUACUGGAAACGGUAGCUAAUACCGCAUAACGUCGCAAGACCAAAGUGGGGGACCUUCGGGCCUCAUGCCAUCAGAUGUGCCCAGAUGGGAUUAGCUAGUAGGUGGGGUAACGGCUCACCUAGGCGACGAUCCCUAGCUGGUCUGAGAGGAUGACCAGCCACACUGGAACUGAGACACGGUCCAGACUCCUACGGGAGGCAGCAGUGGGGAAUAUUGCACAAUGGGCGCAAGCCUGAUGCAGCCAUGCCGCGUGUGUGAAGAAGGCCUUCGGGUUGUAAAGCACUUUCAGCGGGGAGGAAGGCGGUGAGGUUAAUAACCUCACCGAUUGACGUUACCCGCAGAAGAAGCACCGGCUAACUCCGUGCCAGCAGCCGCGGUAAUACGGAGGGUGCAAGCGUUAAUCGGAAUUACUGGGCGUAAAGCGCACGCAGGCGGUCUGUCAAGUCGGAUGUGAAAUCCCCGGGCUCAACCUGGGAACUGCAUUCGAAACUGGCAGGCUAGAGUCUUGUAGAGGGGGGUAGAAUUCCAGGUGUAGCGGUGAAAUGCGUAGAGAUCUGGAGGAAUACCGGUGGCGAAGGCGGCCCCCUGGACAAAGACUGACGCUCAGGUGCGAAAGCGUGGGGAGCAAACAGGAUUAGAUACCCUGGUAGUCCACGCCGUUAACGAUGUCGAUUUGGAGGUUGUGCCCUUGAGGCGUGGCUUCCGGAGCUAACGCGUUAAAUCGACCGCCUGGGGAGUACGGCCGCAAGGUUAAAACUCAAAUGAAUUGACGGGGGCCCGCACAAGCGGUGGAGCAUGUGGUUUAAUUCGAUGCAACGCGAAGAACCUUACCUGGUCUUGACAUCCACAGAACUUUCCAGAGAUGGAUUGGUGCCUUCGGGAACUGUGAGACAGGUGCUGCAUGGCUGUCGUCAGCUCGUGUUGUGAAAUGUUGGGUUAAGUCCCGCAACGAGCGCAACCCUUAUCCUUUGUUGCCAGCGGUUAGGCCGGGAACUCAAAGGAGACUGCCAGUGAUAAACUGGAGGAAGGUGGGGAUGACGUCAAGUCAUCAUGGCCCUUACGACCAGGGCUACACACGUGCUACAAUGGCAUAUACAAAGAGAAGCGACCUCGCGAGAGCAAGCGGACCUCAUAAAGUAUGUCGUAGUCCGGAUUGGAGUCUGCAACUCGACUCCAUGAAGUCGGAAUCGCUAGUAAUCGUAGAUCAGAAUGCUACGGUGAAUACGUUCCCGGGCCUUGUACACACCGCCCGUCACACCAUGGGAGUGGGUUGCAAAAGAAGUAGGUAGCUUAACCUUCGGGAGGGCGCUUACCACUUUGUGAUUCAUGACUGGGGUG